rnacentral:rRNA from 1 species
AACGAACGCUGGCGGCAGGCUUAACACAUGCAAGUCGAACGCCCCGCAAGGGGAGUGGCAGACGGGUGAGUAACGCGUGGGAAUCUACCGUACCCUACGGAAUAACGCAUGGAAACGUGUGCUAAUACCGUAUACGCCCUUAGGGGGAAAGAUUUAUCGGGGUAUGAUGAGCCCGCGUUGGAUUAGCUAGUUGGUGGGGUAAAGGCCUACCAAGGCGACGAUCCAUAGCUGGUCUGAGAGGAUGAUCAGCCACAUUGGGACUGAGACACGGCCCAAACUCCUACGGGAGGCAGCAGUGGGGAAUAUUGGACAAUGGGCGCAAGCCUGAUCCAGCCAUGCCGCGUGAGUGAUGAAGGUCUUAGGAUUGUAAAGCUCUUUCACCGAUGAAGAUAAUGACGGUAGUCGGAGAAGAAGCCCCGGCUAACUUCGUGCCAGCAGCCGCGGUAAUACGAAGGGGGCUAGCGUUGUUCGGAAUUACUGGGCGUAAAGCGCACGUAGGCGGAUAUUUAAGUCAGGGGUGAAAUCCCGCAGCUCAACUGCGGAACUGCCUUUGAUACUGGGUAUCUCGAGUAUGGAAGAGGUGAGUGGAAUUCCGAGUGUAGAGGUGAAAUUCGUAGAUAUUCGGAGGAACACCAGUGGCGAAGGCGGCUCACUGGUCCAUUACUGACGCUGAGGUGCGAAAGCGUGGGGAGCAAACAGGAUUAGAUACCCUGGUAGUCCACGCCCUAAACGAUGUCGACUGGUUGUUGGGUGGGUAACCACUUAGUAACGAAGCUAACGCGUGAAGUCGACCGCCUGGGA